AAGCAAUCAGCUUCGUGAGAUCUUGAAAUUGUUAGGGGGAGAGAGAGAGAGAGAGAGAGGGAGGGUUUACAGAGCGAGAGAAGGCGACGGGGAAGAUCGUGGCCGUGGAGAAGACCCGCCUGCACAAGGACGACGAAGGCGUUUACAGAGAGAGAGAGAGAGAGAGAGAGAGGGAGGGAGGGAGGGAGGGUUUACAGAGCAAGAGAGAUGGCGACGGGGAAGACCGUGGCCCUGGAGAGACCCGCCUCCACGAGGACGACGAAGGCGUCCCUCCCACCAUUCUCCACGAGGUUUCUUUGUUGCGGAUGUUAUCUAGGGAUCCCCAUGUCGUUAGAUAUCCCUGGGAGGAUGCUUUGGAGCUGACUUUGCCAUGAACCUCCUUAUUCGUAAUGCAUGAAUCUUCAAGUACAACUAUGCUAUUCAUGUGGCCGUGUAAGAAUGGAAAAAACACUAAUUCCCGAGUCCUCUAUCGCCGCACACGUGUGUGUGUGUGAACAUGCAGCUUGUUCUGCCUUUUCUUUCGACAAUUAUUUUCAUCCUUGUUUCUUCUAGUAAGCUUUCAGCUUUUGUUGUUCAUUCCUAGUUUUGUGGCAACAAUUUAAAGAAAGGUUCCAUUUUUUUCGGGUAGAUAAGAGUAGAAUUGUUGACAAAUUUGGGGGGCUAAAGGUGGUGUCUUCUUGAUUAGUAUUCCUAUCUGCUGAUGGGAACAACGAGACUAUUGCAGCCGCAUUGAGUUUACAAAAGAAAAAGCAAAGCCCUUGAUUAAAAGCUAGAGUUCUCAUUCAGCAAUGCUAAGAUGAUUUAGGACCAAUAGGGAGGUUAUUGAGUACAUUGUAGGAUUUUUAUUUAUAUUUGCUUAAGUUGUCUUAAAAAUUAGUAUGUUAUUUCUAUGUUUUUAUUUAUUUAUUUUUGUGUUUAUUUAUUUAUUUACUUAUUUAUUUAUUUAUUUAUAUAUUUGUUUUAGUUGUUGGGGAAUUUUAGUUAUUUUAAUCUUUGGAUGUAGUAUUUAUUUAUUUAGUCACAAGAAUGAUUAUCUUUAUUUAUUUUCAUGCAAUUUAGCUAAGUCACCCCAUUUUGAUUAUUAUUCAAAGUCAUAAACUUCGCGGAAUAUUUUUGCAGAAAGGUUCCAUUUUUAUUAGGUAGAUAAGAGUAGAAUUGUUUACAAAUUGGGGAGCUAAAGGUGGUGUCUUCUUGAUUAGUUUGGUAUACUACCUUUUGAAUCUUAUAAUUGGUCGGUGUUGGUUUGAUUUAUCCUACAUUUUUAUUAUUUUUCUAUUGUUCUCCUUUUCUUUUUUGUUGUGGGCUGACUUGUGAUUUGGUUAAGGGGAAGACUUAUCUUCUCAUAUUGGCUAUGAUUGAAAAUGAGGAAGAGUUAGUUACAACCUUGAUGUAUAAAAAAUAUAGACCUGAAUGUUGAUUUGCUAAAACUUUGAGAAUUUUUAUAUUGUGUGCUUAUUUUCGCUUGUUGAUGAUGAAUAUGUUCCCCAGAUAAAAAGAUUUUUGACUUGUAGGUAAUGCGGUUAUGUCCAAUUAUGAUCUUUUAGAAGAAAAAAAGGUGGUUUCGUGAUCCUACCACUAUAUAGGUCGCCAAUAUUAUUUUAUAUCAAAUACUUUUUCUUUGGUUACAAAGGGUCAUUGAUUUACUUAUUUAGGAACUGAUUGUGUAAGGUGUAUAAGAUGUGUUUGAGUAUUUUUAUAUUAUUAUGCAAUUGUUUAUUUCCUGAUUAUGAUGCUUUGCCACUACAUGUGGAAUUUAAAUGAGUUCUCCUAUACUAUGUAUAUUACUUAUAUUUGUUGUUUACAUUUUUGAUGCGGUAAGAUUUAUUUCAUUGAUCGUUGUGUUGCAACUCUUUUUCUCUCUUAUUUUUGUCUUGAGUAUUAUUGAAAAUGAGAUCUUUUGUACUAUAUAUAUAUUACUUUUGUUUCCUUUUUUAUGUUUUUAUGUGAUAUUAUUGAUUUCUUAUGACUUAUUUAAAAUUUUCAGUAUUCCUAUCUGCUGAUGGGAACAACGAGACUAUUGCAGCCACAUUGAGUUUACAAAAGAAAAAGCAACGCCCUUGAUUAAAAGCAAGAGUUCUCAUUCAGCAAUGCUAAGAUGAUUUGGGACCAACAGGGAGGUUAUUUAGUACAUUGUAGGAUUUUUGUUUAUAUUUGCUUAAGUUGUCUUAAAAAUUAGUAUGUUAUUUCUAUGUUUUUAUUUAUUAUUUAUUUUUUUAUGUGUUUAUUUAUUUAUUUUAACUGUUGGGGAAUUUUAGUUAUUUUAAUGUUUGGCUGUAGUAUUUAUUUAUUUAGUCACAAGAAUGAUUAUCUUUAGUUAUUUUAAUGUUUGGCUGUAGUAUUUAUUUAUUUAGUCACAAGAAUGAUUAUCUUUAUUUAUUGUCAUACAAUUUUGCUAAGUCACCCGAUUUUGAUUAUUAUUCAAAGUCAUUAACUUCGCGGAAUAUUUUUGCAGAGAGGUUCCCUUUUUAUUAGGUAGAUAAGAGUAGAAUUGUUGACAAAUUGGGGAGCUAAAGGUUCUGUCUUCUUGAUUAGUUAGUAUUCCUAUCUGCUGAUGGGAACAACGAGACUAUUGCAGCCACAUUGAGUUUACAAAAGAAAAAGCAAAGCCCCUGAUUAAAAGCUAGAGUUCUCAUUCAGCAAUGCUAAGAUGAUUUGGGACCAAUAGGGAGGUUAUUUAGUAGUACAUUGUAGGAUUUUUGUUUAUAUUUGCUUAAGUUGUCUUAAAAAUUAGUAUGUUAUUUCUAUGUUUUUAUUUAUUUAUUUAUUUAUUUUUGUGUUUAUUUAUUUAGUUAUUUAUUUAUUUAUUUAUUUAUUUUAACUGUUGGGGAAUUUUAGUUAUUUUAAUGUUUGGCUGUAGUAUUUAUUUAUUUAGUCACAAGAAUGAUUUUCUCUAUUUAUUUUCAUACAAUUUAGCUAAGUCACCCCAUUUUGAUUAUUAUUCAAAGUCAUUAACAUCGCGGAAUAUUUUUGCAGAAAGGUUCCCUUUUUAUUAGGUAGAUAAGAGUAGAAUUGUUGACAAAUUCGGGAGCUAAUGGUGGUGUCUUCUUGAUUAGUUAGUAAUACUGCCUUUUGAAUCUUAUAAUUGGUUGGUGUUGGUUUGAUUUAUCCUACAUUUUUAUUAUUUUUCUAUUGUUCUCCUUUUCUUUUUUGUUGUGGCUGACUUGUGAUUUGGUUGAGCGGAAGACUUAUCUUCUCAUAUUGGCUAUGAUUGAAAAUGAGGAAGAGUUUGUUACAACCUUGAUGUAUAAAAAGUAUAGACCUGAAUAUUGAUUUGCUAAAACUUUGAGAAUUUUUAUAUUGUGUGCUUAUUUUCGCUUGUUGAUGAUGAAUAUGUUCAUCAUCCCAGAUAAAAAGAUUUUUGACUUGUAGGUAAUGCGGUUAUGUCCAAUUAUGAUUUUUUAGAAGAAAAAAAGGUGGUUUCGUAUGAUCCUACCACUAUAUAGGUCGCCAAUAUUAUUUUAUAUCAAAUACUUUUUCUUUGGUUACAAAGGGUAAUUGAUUUACUUAUUUAGGAACUGAUUGUGUAAGGUGUAUAAGAUGUGUUUGAGUAUUUUUAUAUUAUUAUGCAAUUGUUUAUUUCCUGAUCAUGAUGCUUUGCCACUACAUGUGGAAUUUGAAUGAGUUCUCCUAUACUAUGUAUAUUACUUCUAUUUGUUGUUUACAUUUUUGAUGCGGUAAGAUUUAUUUCAUUGAUCGUUGUGUUGCAACUCUUUUUCUCUCUUAUUUUUGUCUUGAGUAUUAUUGAAAAUGAGAUCUUUUGUACUAUAUAUAUAUAUAUAUUACUUUUAUUUCCUUUUUUAUGUUUUUAUGUGAUAUUAUUGAUUUCUUAUGACUUAUUUAAAAUUUUCAGUAUUCCUAUCUGCUGAUGGGAACAACGAGACUAUUGCAACCACAUUGAGUUUGCAAAAGAAAAGACAAAGCCAUUGAUUAAAAGCUAGAGUUCUCAUUCAGCAAUGCUAAAGAUGAUUUGGGACCAACAGGGAGGUUAUUUAGUACAUUGUAGGAUUUUUGUUUAUAUUUGCUUAAGUCGUCUUAAAAAUUAGUAUGUUAUUUAUAUGUUUUUAUUUAUUUAUUUAUUUAUGUGUCUAUUUAUUUAGUUAUUUAUUUAUUUAUUUAUUUUAACUGUUGGGGAAUUUUAGUUAUUUUAAUCGCUGGCUGUAGUAUUUAUUAUUUAGUCACAAGAAUGAAUAUCUUUAUUUAUUUUCAUACAAUUUUGCUAAGUCACCCCUUUUUGAUUAUUAUUCAAAGUCAUUAACUUCAUGGAAUAUGUUUGCAGAAUGGUUCCCUUUUUAUUAGGUAGAUAAGAGUAGAAUUGUUGACAAAUUCGGGAGCUAAAGGUGGUGUCUUCUUGAUUAGUUAGCCACAUUGAGUUUACAAAAGAAAAAGCAAAGCGCUUGAUUAAAAGCUAGAGUUCUCAUUCAACAAUGCUAAGAUGAUUUGGGACGAACAAGGAGGUUAUUUAGCACAUUGUAGGAUUUUUGUUUAUAUUUGCUUAAGUUGUCUUAAAAAUUAGUAUGUUAUUUCUAUGUUUUUAUUUAUUUAUGUAUUUAUUUAUUUAUUUAUUUAUUUGUUUAUUUUAACUGUAGGGGAAUUUUAGUUAUUUUAAUGUUUGGCUGUAGUAUUUAUUUAUUUAGUCACAAGAAUGAUUAUCUUUAUUUAUUUUCAUACAAUUUAGCUAAGUCGCCCGAUUUUGAUUAUUAUUCAAAAUCAUUAACUUCGCGGAAUAUUUUUGCAGAAAAGUUCCAUUUUUAUUAGGUAGAUAAGAGUAGAAUUGUUGACAAAUUGGGGAGCUAAAGGUGGUGUCUUCUUGAUUAGUUUGAAAUUUCAAUUCAUACUUGGGAUGGGGAGACAAUGGAGGGAAGAGAAGCUGAACACUCGUUCUUGGAAAAAGGAACUGAAGCUGGGUAAGCCAUACUUAACAGGGUUGAUCACGUCUUGGUUGAUAUAGCUUCCAUUGCUGCAAAUGCUACGCCAAGUAUGGGAAGAUAUCUUCCUUUCAAGAGAGAGGUCGUGGAAAUUGCGAGUGCUAGACUGGAUGAGUUUCAGAAUGAAGUCAAGAAAAUGGUGGUCGCACUAGUUGACAUGGAGCGAGCUUUUGUGCCCCUCAACACUUUAUACGCCUUGUUUGAAGAAGAAAUUUCUAUUCAUACUUGGGAUGGAGAGACAACGGAGGGAAGAGGAGCUGAACACUCGUUCCUUGAAGAAGCAAUUGAAGCUGGGUAAGCCAUACUUAACAGGGUUGAUCAUGUGUCUUGAUUGAUAUAGUUUCCACUGCUGCAAAUGCUACGCCAAGUAUGGGAAGAUAUCUUCCUUUCAAGAGAGAGGUCAUGGAAAUUGCCAGUGCUGGACUGGAUGAGUUUCAAAAUGAAGUCAAGAAAAUGGUGGUCGCACUAGUUGACAUGGAGCAAGCUUUUGUGCCCCUCAACACUUUAUACGCCUUGUUUGAAGAAGGUUGCAGGAAAUGAGAAUCCUUCUACCCUUAUUUCUUUUGCCACAAAGAGCAUCAAUGUUGGACAAAUUACGUCAAAGCUACAUGUCAUUGAACUUGGUGCUCAGCCAGGUCCGAAAGAGGGUACAAGCCUUGGAUGCCUAGAGAAGUUGGUCUCCAAUUUUCACCUUCAUAAAUAUGAUUGUAUUGAUGUUGCCUGCAAAAAAUUACUUCUGCUGUCUUGACUUGACAUGUAAUGCCUAAGAUCUUAUUAUACAAACUACAGCUAUUAUCAUCAGGAAAUUGUGAUAACUGUUCAGCGAGAUGAGGACCUGGGCAGAUGGUUCCAUGGGAUAUUUUCAUUCCCAGAAAAUCAAUUCCGUGCUGUCCAAUCAUACUUUUCUUUUCUGACAACAUUAUCCUGUACUGUGAUGCCAGCUGGUGGGAAUGUUCAAGCGGGUGAUGAUGAUCUGCAAGACUCUUAGAAAAUAAUAGAAUAUCGUCAAUAUAGAUCAAAGCUCUAUGCACAUAGAACAAACCAAAAGGAAAUUUCCUGCUAAGAACAAACCACAGGGUGCUUGUUGGGGACUGUCAAGAUGUCAACUAUGCAAGAUGAAGUGUUUGGAGAUCUUCGCGUUUAUCAUAAGUGUUGGCACGAUUUAGGAUAAUUGGAUUUAACUAUGUAAUCUUCAACAUUUAGGGAUUUGCAAUUAUGUUUCAUUUAUUAGGGAUAUUAUUUUCAAAAGUAUGUUUCUCAUUUUGGGCUUAGUUAUUAUUUUCAAUCUAC